rnacentral:rRNA from 1 species
UACGUAGGGGGCUAGCGUUGUCCGGAUUUAUUGGGCGUAAAGAGCGUGUAGGCGGCCAGGUAGGUCUGCUGUGAAAACUCGAGGCUUAACCUCGAGACGCCGAUGGAAACCAUCUGGCUAGAGUCCGGAAGAGGAGAGUGGAAUUCCUGGUGUAGCGGUGAAAUGCGCAGAUAUCAGGAGGAACACCUAUUGCGAAGGCAGCUCGCUGGGACGUGACUGACGCUGAGACGCGAAAGCGUGGGAGCAAACAGG